rnacentral:snRNA from 1 species
AUCAUUUCUGACCUUUUGGCUAAGAUCAAGUGUAUAUCUGUUCUUAUCAGUUUAAUGUAUAUACAAACAAGUAUAAGUAAACUGGGGGAAUGUGAACAAAUUCACUGGAUUAUACCAAUGUCAAUCCUAGCAGUGAUACUGUAGUAUAGUUUUUUUUUGGUACCAGGGAUCGAACUCGGGUCUUUGCGCUUGCAGGCGAUCUCUGGUACCAAAAAAAAACCCCUA